GAGCGAAUGGAUUAGGUGCUUGCUCUUAUGAAGUUAGCGGCCGACGGGUGAGUACACGUGGGUAACCUGCCCAUAAGAUGGGAUACUCCGGGAAACCGGGGCUAAUACCGGAUAACAUUUUGCACUGCAUGGUGCGAAAUUGAAAGGCGGCUUCGGCUGUCACUUAUGGAUGGACCCGCGUCGCAUUAGCUAGUUGGUGAGGUAACGGCUCACCAAGGCAACGAUGCGUAGCCGACCUGAGAGGGUGAUCGGCCACACUGGGACUGAGACACGGCCCAGACUCCUACGGGAGGCAGCAGUAGGGAAUCUUCCGCAAUGGACGAAAGUCUGACGGAGCAACGCCGCGUGAGUGAUGAAGGCUUUCGGGUCGUAAAACUCUGUUGUUAGGGAAGAACAAGUGCUAGUUGAAUAAGCUGGCACCUUGACGGUACCUAACCAGAAAGCCACGGCUAACUACGUGCCAGCGGCCGCGGUAAU
rnacentral:rRNA from 1 species